UACGUGGAAGUAAUACAUUUGCGACCUACCACACAUUACAGAAUCAUCAAACAUUUAACGGAUUUACUAAGGGGAUAAAAUGUCGAUUAAAGAUUAAUCUGAUUAAAGAUUUUUUGAAAGCCUUCUUAAAGGGACUACUAGGCGACUCUAAAAAUGGAAAAAACCGAUACCAAGGAAGUUUUAAGUGAUAAGUGAUAGUCCGCACAUCGCCAGGAGGCUGCAAGAGGGAGGAGCUCAACAGCUGCAACAGGAGCUCAACACCCGUGCCCUAGGAGCGAAGGACCGUUCCGGGUCAGCUUUUCAGCCAGCACGGACAGCGGAUGCCCACAACCGGGCCGUCAACGGUGGGACCGCCAACUUGGCCGCGGCUGAAGUGAACGUCAAUGCGGAGGCCCAAGAGCCCAAACGCUGGAGACCAGUCUCUUGUCGCUCAGGCGCUGACCUCAUUGAGGAACCUACCGGCCGACGAUCUUAAUUUAAUGAUUGCCACCAUAAGGGCAGUACCAUACAUAUUUAAAAGAAGCAAAAGUAAGAUUUGUAUAAAUAUUAUUUAACUAGGGGCCAAGCCCUCUGCAGACUCGCAUCACUCGAUUGCAAGCCCCCAUAGUUUUAAUUAAAACUAACAAUUACGGUUUUUUGUAAAAUUGUUUUCUUCAUCUGUCUUUAGCUCGCCCCCUUCCAUAGAGCCACACAUUGCAGAGUCACGGCAGAGGCAGAAGCUGCGGGACUUGGUGGGUUUAGCCACUGCAAAUUAAUUUAUUCAUUCUGGCUAUCAUAAUGAUCCAAUCGUAUCCCAAUUUGGUGUUCUAAUAUAUGUGUUCCUUCCCUACGGAAUGGCGUU
rnacentral:lncRNA from 1 species